GACGAACGCUGGCGGCGUGCUUAACACAUGCAAGUCGAGCGAGGUCCAUCCAGUGGCAACACUGGGGAAGACCUAGCGGCGAACGGGUGAGUAACACGUGAGCAACCUGCCCCGAAGACUGGGAUAACACCGGGAAACCGGUGCUAAUACCGGAUGCCCUCCUCUGGUCGCAUGGCCUAGGGAGGAAAUGAAUUUUGCUUCGGGAGGGGCUCGCGGGCUAUCAGCUUGUUGGUGAGGUAACGGCUCACCAAGGCGACGACGGCUAGCUGGUCUGAGAGGACGACCAGCCACACUGGGACUGCGACACGGGCCAGACUCCUACGGGAGGCAGCAGUAAGGAAUAUUGCGCAAUGGGCGAAAGCCUGACGCAGCGACGCCGCGUGGGGGAUGAAGGUC
rnacentral:rRNA from 1 species